UGUGCUAUACUAAUGUUUACAAAUCGUCUCCUGCUGGGAGUCUCUCUCCCAACACCUCCAAAACCUGUUAGGACUCUCCCUCCCAACAGAGAUUGACGCAGCAAAGUUACAGACGAAUAACAGGAACAACAGGAGGAGGUGGAGUCUGGAGAAGCAGUGGUUCGCCAUCAGAAGCUUUGUCUCUCAAUUGAUAUAGACAAGCGUUGAAUUUACUGGUCUCUCUCCCUCCCUCUCUGGCUCUCUCCCCUUUAAACUCUAUUUAUCUAUUUGCUCGAAUUCGUUAGUACAAUCUCUCUCUCUCUCUCUCUCCCUUCCUCCCUCUAUCCCCUUUAAUACUCUAUUAAUCUAUUUGCUCGAAUUCGUUAGUACAAUUUGUUAAUUUGCUUUUUUUGGUGAUUGAUACGCCCCUGUUUUCAUGUCCUGAGAGCGGCGCUUCAGAGCGGGAUUGAUAAGCUUGCUGAUACUGUUGGUCUUACUCUUGGUCCCAGAGGGAGGAAUGUUGUGUUGGAUGAAUUUGGAACCCGUAAAGUGGUUAAUGAUGGUGUCACAAUUGCUCGAGCUAUAGAGCUGCCUGAUGCCAUGGAGAAUGCUGGUGCUGCUCUUAUUAGGGAGGUUGCGAGUAAAACCAAAGAUUCUGCUGGUGAUGGCACAACAACUGCGUCCAUUCUUGCACGUGAAAUAAUUAACCUUGGACUCUUGAGUGUGACCUCUGGUGCUAAUCCUGUUUCUAUUAAGAAAGGGAUAGAUAAAACCGUCCUAGCCCUGACUGAAGAGCUAGAGAAUAAAGCAAGACCCGUUCAUGGUCGUGAUGACAUUAAAGUUACACAGAGCUUCAGGUGGUUGUUCCUGAAAAUGGAAUUGUUGGGUUGCAUGCUGACAAUUUGGUAAUUGAGAGAGUAACAGUAAAUAGGGAGGUGGCAGAGUUUGAAGUCUAUCCUCAUUAUUUACAUUUGGAUAACGAUAAUAGAUGGUGUUCAGUUUCAUCAGCGAGUUCAGCAGCUGAUGCUGCUGGUUCGGUCUACUUAUCAUCUAUUGACAGAGAAUUAGUUCCCAACUUAUUAAUAAUGUGUGCGUCCAAGGAUGUACAGUCUGUGGAAUGAACACCAAAAAGGCCAAGAAAACUCAGAUAACGGGCUGCAAUCUUCAGGUGAAUUCAAACAGGUGGACAAAGCAACAUCUGAUCUUAAGAACACCAAUGUUAGACAGAAGGACAUUGUUACCCAGCUGAGAUCAAGUCGAAAUUUUGUAUCGAUAUAAUUUUGUUGUGCAUAAUAUUGGGGAUUGCAGCCUAUCUUUACAAGCAGCAUCACUGAGCGUUGAUCAUCCAUGGAUACAAGGCGUCCAAGUGAUCGGGAUUCUGAUGUUAUUAUACAUGGACAGAAUUGAAUAAAUGUUUAAUGGAGGCUCCUUCCAAAUGGCCUAUCAAUGCAAUCGCUGCAAAUUCCAUGUACGGAAUAUGUCAAACAAUUUUGCAGGACUACUAAUUCAAGGCUGGAGGAAGCGAUGAAAUAUUGUUUGAGAAGCUGUCUGUUAUGAUCUCUGAUAUUAUCAGUGCCUGCCUUACUAACUUGAAAGAUGUGAUAACCAAAUAAAGAAGAAAAUGUCCGACAUGAUGUUUUGCUACUUGGACAAACAGAAAAAAUAGUGAAAAAUAUUGAACUCAUACCAACCCCAGGGUUGACUCCAGAUGUAAGGGCUCACAUUGAUCAUUGGCGUUGUUUCAGCAAGUGUAUGAGCAUCUUCGACUACAUUCUACUGGUACAAAUAUAUGAGCAGUAAUUCUUUUACUCUGUCUAGCAUGCACAUAUCCAUCGAGUGGAAUCAAAUGCCUGCACUUGGAAAACAAAGCUGAGUUGGAAUUCGUUGUGUUUAAUCAAAGGUGUUCUGUACGUACGCAUCCCCCUGAAGAAGCUGCUCUUGGCAAAUCAGAAGGAAAUACUAAAAAUGCAGAAACUAUAAGUAAAAGUAAGGAAGAGGCUUCUAGGAGUACAUGCAAUAUUGCAACUAUACUGGAAGCAGAAUUCCCGGAAAACAAGUGUUAUCAAUAUAGCCACAGACCAUCUUUUUCUGGUAGUGAUUAUGAAGAUUAUAAAGAUGGUGCUCAUCAUGAUUUGGAAAAAUCUUAUAAUUAUGUAAGAAAUCCUGCACCAAAUUCUUUGAAUGGAUUUCAGAAGCCAUGAGUGACCCCUGAUCUCCAUCACUCAGAUAGUUUUAGAAGUCAGUUUGGAAAAGUAAAAUAUAGGGAUGGAAAAGAUGCUGCCAGAUAUGGAAAAUGCAUUCAUCCGAAGAGGGAUAGUCUAUAUGAUAGUUCUGGAUUGAAGUCAUCUACCAGUGGCCUUAGAGGUACUUCAAAUUCUGUGACCGACAGAGACUAUGGCCAUCAUUUAGAACAUGAUCAUAGCCGACAGAAGGAUAAGCUAUAUGAUUAUAGUGGUUAUCACUCAAACAUUCGAGAGGUUUAUCAUAGCGAAGAAACACACAUCCUUCUUGUCGAGGCAAUUGAAGGGAGAUGCAAAGUGAGAAUGAAAAGUGAUCUUCCGUCAUGUGAAUCCCCCGUUAUAUAUGAGCAUGUGUUCUUUUGUGAAUAUCUUAUGAUCCUCAUAAAGGUUCUCUAAAGCAGGUAUAUGAGAAAGCUAAGGAAUGCUCAGAACAAGUUUCAACGGAGGAAUUUGCAAUUGUUCUUGCUAAUUAAGCACUUUACAUCUUUUUAUCAGCAGGUAUCUGUGGAUUGAAAUGGGCAAUUGAAUAUGAAGAGCCUGCAGGAGAUGCGUUCAAACUCAAUCAUCCAGACACAACAAUGUUCAUCAAUAAUUGCAUGUGAUUUUAAAGGCCAUCAUGGAUAAAAGUGGAGAUGCAGAUGAUUGCAUUUCAACACUAGAGGCGACAUAUUUAGCUUCUAAAUUAAGUGAGGAGGAACUAAAGAAUUUGCCACUGCCAGGACAGGUUGAUUUUAUCAAUGGAGGCCCCCUUGUCAGGGAUUCUCUGGAAUGAAUAGAUUUAACCAGAUUUUUUGGAGUAAAGUACAAUGCGAGAUGAUUUUAGCAUUCUUAUCCUUUGAGGAUUAUUAUCGACCAAAGUAUUUUCUUCUUGAGAAUGUUUCCGUCUAGCUAUUGCUUCACUUCUUGAGAUGGGAUACCAGGUUCAGUUUUGUAUACUUGAAGCUGGAGCAUUUGGAGUUCCUCAAUCGAGGAAGCGUGAAUUUGUAUGGGCAGCAUCUCCUGAAGAAACUCUCCCUGAGUGGCCAGAACGGAUGCAUGUCUUCGCUGCACCAGAGCUAAAAGUUGCAUUACCUGGAAACAAGCAUUAUGCUGCUGUCCGGAGUACUCAAUCUGGAGCACCAUUCAGAGCUAUCACUUUAUAGUCUUGCACGCUUUAUAGCUGAAUCGAGGAAGCCUGCAUUUAUAUGUAUUUACUUUAUAGUCUUGCUUAUGAACAUUUAUUGUGUCUUUGGUAGAUAACCGGUCCAAUUAUAUCAACAUCAGACAACUAAUACAAAAUUAAGUUCUCAACAAAUCCACACUUUAGUUCUCA